AAGAGCAAGCUCAGUGUUUCCUUCAAGCAGCAUUGUGGACAGAUUCCUGCCAGACCCUUCAGAGCAAGUACCCCACACCCCUAGCCCAGGGUCUCUUCCUCGAUAGGGGGUGAUCUGUCUGCCCCUCACUGUUUUCUCCAAAUAGAGAUAAGGUCUCACUAUGUUGCCAUGGCUGGUCUCAAACUCCCGUGUUCAAGUCAUCUGCCUGCCUCGGCCUCCUAAAGGGGAAGUGGGAUUACAGCCUUCUCCACAGCCCAGCCACUGUGAGGGAGUCAUCAGCACUGGAACCCAGGGGCCAUGGCCUUGGAGGAUCCGGACCCUCUGCAUUUGAGGAACUUGGCUUCCAGUCAGGGAGCCAAGAUGUCCCUGCCAAUCAAGGAGGGGGUGUGGGCUGGUGGAGGAGGCAGCCUUGGGGCACGGGAACUAAUAGACCAGACUCAAGGGUUCUACUCCUGACUUCUAGAUUGUUCCGCCUCCGUAUGGAAUAUGUUCCUUCCAUCUAACACUGUGGGAUUUGGGGACCAUCCAACUCAAAUGAAAGAAGCCAAACCAUGCAGUGAGCCACCCCCUCCCCAAUGUGGGGUACCCCCUGCCCCCCGCCCAGCUCCCCUGCCCUCUCAGCUGAGGGGGGAUCACUGCCUGGUGAUCUCAGCCUCCCCUCCAAGUGGGCUGUGAAGUGUCUAAUCCAGGCUUUCAUUUGGCAUCCACAAUUAUAAUGUCAAGAUUGAAUAAUCUGCCUUUAUCUCCCGGGUGACAGCCAUGUAGAAACUUCAAAAGAAACAGUUUUGCUGGCAUCUAACGGCUUUUGUUAAUUACUAUAUCCCAAAGAAAAUGAAAUAAAGGAGGGAGAAAAAUGAUA